CACGUAGGGCGCAAGCGUUGUCCGGAAUUAUUGGGCGUAAAGAGCUCGUAGGCGGUCUGUUACGUCUGCUGUGAAAACCCAGGGCUUAACCCUGGGCUUGCAGUGGAUACGGGCAGACUAGAGGCAGGUAGGGGAGAAUGGAAUUCCCGGUGUAGCGGUGAAAUGCGCAGAUAUCGGGAGGAACACCAAUGGCGAAGGCAGCUCGCUGGGACGGUACUGACGCUGAGGCGCGAAAGCGUGGGGAGCAAACAGG
rnacentral:rRNA from 1 species